rnacentral:rRNA from 1 species
GUGGGGAAUAUUGGACAAUGGGCGAAAGCCUGAUCCAGCCAUGCCGCGUGUGUGAAGAAGGUCUUCGGAUUGUAAAGCACUUUAAGUUGGGAGGAAGGGCAGUAAGUUAAUACCUUGCUGUUUUGACGUUACCGACAGAAUAAGCACCGGCUAACUUCGUGCCAGCAGCCGCGGUAAUACGACGGGUGCAAGCGUUAAUCGGAAUUACUGGGCGUAAAGCGCGCGUAGGUGGUUUUGUAAGUUGGAGGUGAAAUCCCCGGGCUCAACCUGGGAACUGCCUCCAAAACUGCAUGACUGGAGUACGGUAGAGGGUAGUGGAAUUUCCUGUGUAGCGGUGAAAUGCGUAGAUAUAGGAAGGAACACCAGUGGCGAAGGCGACUACCUGGACUGAUACUGACACUGAGGUGCGAAAGCGUGGGGAGCAAACAGGAUUAGAAACCCUGGUAGUCC